rnacentral:rRNA from 1 species
UAAUUUUUAUAUUAAUAUAAUUUAUUAUUUUAUUUAUUUUAAAAAAAAAAUUUUAUUUUUUAGUAUUUUAGAAAUAAAUAAGUUUUUAUAGUUUAAUGUACUGUUAAGGAAUUAUGAAUAUUUUUAUCAAAGUAAUUAUAUUUAAUUUACCUUUUGUAUCAGGGUUUAUUUAUUUUUAAAAUAUAUAUUUAUUUUCCCGAAAUUUUAAGUUAUAUAAUAAAAUUAUGUUUAAUGUUUUAAUAUUAUCAUAAAUUUUAUUAUAGUGGAGAAAUUCUAUUCAAUUAAAAAUAUCUGGUUUUUUAAGAAUUAGAUUUAAUCUAUGAUUAAUUUUUCAUUAUAUGUUAAUUUUUUUUAAUCACAAAUUAAUUAGGAUAAGCUAUUUGAUGUUUCUAUAAAAUGUUUUUUGUAAAAUUUUUUGUAGGUUUAAUAAUAUUCAUCAUAUAUUUUUUUAUAAUUAAAUAUUUAAUUAUUUUUAUUUAUUUUUUUUUAGAUUUAUAUUAAAUUAAUUAAUUUAAUUAUUAAAUUAUUGUAAUAUUGAUAAAAUUAGUAUUUUAUAUAAUUAAAAUAUAGUAAUUUGGCAAAUAUUAUUUUCGCCUGUUUAACAAAAACAUGGUUUUUUGUUUAUAUAAAAAAUUUGACCUGCUCUAUGAUUUAUUAAAUGGCUGCAGUAUUUUGACUGUACAAAGGUAGCAUAAUCAUUUGUCUUUUAAUUGAAGGCUGGUAUGAAUGGUUGGACGAGAAAUAUACUUUCUUUAUUUUAUAUAAUAAAGUUAAUUUUUUAGUUAAAAAGCUAAAAUAAUUUUAUAGGACGAGAAGACCCUAUAGAACUUUAUUUUUAAUUUUUAUAAAAUUUAUAGAUUUAUAUAAAUUUAUAUUUAUAUAUAAAUUUUGUUGGGGUGAUAAAAAAAAUUAUAUAACUUUUUUAAUAUUUUACAUUUAUAUAUGUAUAUUUGAUCCUUUAUUAUUGAUUAUAAGAUUAAGUUACCUUAGGGAUAACAGCGUUAUUUUUUUGGAGAGUUCUUAUCGAUAAAAAAGUUUGCGACCUCGAUGUUGGAUUAAAAUAAGUGAUAGGAGUAUAAUAUUAUUUACUAGGUCUGUUCGACCUUUAAUUUUUUACAUGAUCUGAGUUCAGACCGGCGUGAGCCAGGUCGGUUUCUAUCCUUAAAUAAAUACUAAAUUUUAGUACGAAAGGACCAAAUUUUGGGAAAAUUUUUUAUUUAUAUGAUUUUAUUAAU